rnacentral:rRNA from 1 species
GACGAACGCUGGCGGCGUGCCUAAUACAUGCAAGUAGAACGCACAGUUUAUACCGUAGCUUGCUACACCAUAAACUGUGAGUUGCGAACGGGUGAGUAACGCGUAGGUAACCUGCCUGGUAGCGGGGGAUAACUAUUGGAAACGAUAGCUAAUACCGCAUAAUAUUUAUUAUUGCAUGAUAAUUGAUUGAAAGAUGCUAUUGCAUCACUACCAGAUGGACCUGCGUUGUAUUAGCUAGUAGGUGAGGUAACGGCUCACCUAGGCGACGAUACAUAGCCGACCUGAGAGGGUGAUCGGCCACACUGGGACUGAGACACGGCCCAGACUGCUACGGGAGGCAGCAGUAGGGAAUCGUCGGCAAUGGACGAAAGUCAGACCGAGCAACGCCGCGUGAGUGAAGAAGGUUUUCGGAUCGGAAAGGUCUGUUGUAAGAGAAGAACGGGUGUGAGAGUGGAAAGUUCACACUGUGACGGUAUCUGACCAGAAAGGGACGGCUAACUACGUG